rnacentral:rRNA from 1 species
UCUAGUUUACUAGGCAUGGCAAACGGGAGAGUAACACAUUGAUAACCUACCUCGAAGACGGGGAUAACCUUGCGAAAGCGAGAAUAAUACCCGAUAGUAUGAAACGACAUGAGUCGUUUCAUUAAAGCUACGACGCUUCGAGAGGGGUCUAUGGCCUAUCAGCUUGUUGGUGAGGUAAUGGCUCACCAAGGCAUCGACGGGUAUCGGGCGCGAGAGCGUGACCCGACUCACUGGGACUGAGAAACUACCCAGACUCCUACGGGAGGCUGCAGUCAAGAAUCUUCCUCAAUGGACGAAAGUCUGAAGGAGCGACGCCGCGUGUAUGAAGAAGCCUUUCGGGGUGUAAAGUACUUUUAACUGUGACGAAACAAUGACGGUAGCAGUUGAAUAAGGGGCUGCUAACCUCGUGCCAGCAGCAGCGGUAAUACGAGGGCCCCAAGCAUUAUCCGGAUUUAUUGGGCGUAAAGCGUCCGUAGGUGGUUUAUCGCAUCUCCUGUUAAAUCUCGAGGCUCAACCUCGAGUCCGCGGGAGAGAUGGACAAACUAGAGAUUGGAAGAGGCAAACGGAAUUGCUGGUGUAGGGGUUAAAUCCAUUAAUAUCAGCAAGAACACCAAAUGCGAAGGCAGUUUGCUAGGACAAAUCUGACACUCAGUGGACGAAAGCGUGGGGAGCGAAUGGGAUUAGAUACCCCAGUAGUCCACGCCGUAAACGAUGGAUACUAAGCAUUGGAAGUAUCGACCCUUCCAGUGCUGCUAAUUUAAGUUAACACGUUAAGUAUCCCGCCUGGGGAGUACGGCCGCAAGGCUAAAACUCAAAGGAAUAGACGGGGACCCGCACAAGCGGUGGAGCAUGUGGUUUAAU